GGAACCUGGGGUCAGCACACAUGGGGUUCUGGGUGGGGCGCUGGGCAGAGGGACUCGGCUUCCAGGACUCUGAGCCAGGCCUAGGGACAGACUGCUGGGAAGGGGCAACAGCGCCGAGAGGCAGGAUUCUAGGUCCUGGAGGCGGAAGCUUGGGUGACUGACGUGACUCCGAGUCAGGGAGAAGGGGGGGGCGGUGGCGGCGGUGGUCCAGCGCUGGAACCCGAGGGGCUGGACUCCAGCUCCAUCUCCCAGGCAUUGUAAAGGGAGUUCCUAUUGGCUGUGGCAGUGCUGAAGGACCUAUUGGCUGUGGCAGUGCUGAAGGACCCAUUGGCUGUGGCAGUGCUGAAGGACCUAUUGGCUGUGGCAGUGCUGAAGGAGGGCAGAGAACGCAGCCACCUGGAGGGGCAAGCCUCCUCCUGGGCCAGGGGACUCCAGGGAGACCAAAGCAGCUGUAAAGAUAAAAGAAAUUGAAAAAAAUACAAAACUAUCCAACCUGGCUCUCAGCACCUGCUGUCUCUCCACGAAAGACCAGAGAUCCACAUCACCCUCCACUACGCCACCAUGUUCCUUUCCAGUCAUACCUGGGCC